rnacentral:rRNA from 1 species
AUUGAACGCUGGCGGCAGGCCUAACACAUGCAAGUCGAGCGGAUGAAGGGAGCUUGCUCCUGGAUUCAGCGGCGGACGGGUGAGUAAUUCCUAGGAAUCUGCCUUGUAGUUGGGGAUAACGUCCGGAAACGGGCGCUAAUACCGCAUCCGUCCUGAGGUAGAACGUGGGGGAUCUUCGGACCUCACGCUAUCCGAUGAGCCUAGGUCGGAUUAGCUAGUUGGUGGGGUAAAGGCCUACCAAGGCGACGAUCCGUAACUGGUCUGAGAGGAUGAUCAGUCACACUGGAACUGAGACACGGUCCAGACUCCUACGGGAGGCAGCAGUGGGGAAUAUUGGACAAUGGGCGAAAGCCUGAUCCAGCCAUGCCGCGUGUGUGAAGAAGGUCUUCGGAUUGUAAAGCACUUUAAGUUGGGAGGAAGGGCAGUAAGUUAAUGCCUUGCUGUUUUGACGUUACCAACAGAAUAAGCACCGGCUAACUUCGUG